AGCGCGCAAAUAACCCAAUCACCACGAAAACACGCUGAUCCUGUGGGCUGUUGGAUCGGGUUGCGGGUCAGGGCCAAGACGACGCUGUUUUGGCGCCUGGAGCACUGGCCCAAAACGGCACCGUUUCAAACUACUUUAAAAGCCAAAUUUUUUUUAAAACAUUCAUUUUUAGACUUCCUUCUAAAAAAAAGAAAAAGAAAAACCCUCUCAACUUUUCUUCCCCCCUCCGGUCUAAGGUCUGGUCGUUGCCACAGCCGUAGCGCCGCCGUGGCUCCACCGUGAGCGGCGGUCAGAGCCACACAAAACCUAUUUUAAACAUUGUUUUAAAAGCCGUUUGAAGGCCAAGCCUUCUAGGCCCAAAGGUCGAAGGUAAAAGACCUC
rnacentral:lncRNA from 1 species